rnacentral:tRNA from 1 species
CAGAGAAUAGUUUAAAAAAAAUAUUAAUUUUGGAGAUUAAUGAUAAAAGUAUAUUUUUUCUCUGA